GCCCACAGGGGUUAGCUCAGUCAGUAGAGCAUGAGACUCUUAAUCUCAGGUUUAUGGGUUCAAGCCCUACACUGGGCU